AUUGAACGCUGGCGGCAUGCUUUACACAUGCAAGUCGAACGGCAGCACGGGGGCAACCCUGGUGGCGAGUGGCGAACGGGUGAGUAAUGCAUCGGAACGUACCCGGGAGUGGGGGAUAACGUAGCGAAAGUUACGCUAAUACCGCAUAUUCUGUGAGCAGGAAAGUGGGGGACCGUAAGGCCUCACGCUUCUGGAGCGGCCGAUGUCGGAUUAGCUAGUUGGUGGGGUAAAGGCUUACCAAGGCGACGAUCCGUAGCGGGUCGGAGAGGAUGGGCCGCCACACUGGGACUGAGAAACGGCCCAGACUCCUACGGGAGGCAGCAGUGGGGAAUUUUGGACAAUGGGCGCAAGCCUGAUCCAGCCAUGCCGCGUGAGUGAAGAAGGCCUUCGGGUUGUAAAGCUCUUUUGUUGGGGAAGAAAUGCUCUGGGUUAAUACCCUGGGGUGAUGACGGUACCCAAAGAAUAAGCACCGGCUAACUACGUGCCAGCAGCCGCCGCAG
rnacentral:rRNA from 1 species